rnacentral:rRNA from 1 species
UACGAAGGGGGCUAGCGUUGUCCGGAAUCACUGGGCGUAAAGGGCGCGUAGGCGGCUUUAUAAGUCGGGGGUGAAAGCCUGUGGCUCAACCACGGAAUUGCCUUCGAUACUGUAGAGCUUGAGACCGGAAGAGGUAAGUGGAACUGCGAGUGUAGAGGUGAAAUUCGUAGAUAUUCGCAAGAACACCAGUGGCGAAGGCGGCUUACUGGUCCGGAUCUGACGCUGAGGCGCGAAAGCGUGGGGAGCAAACAGG